rnacentral:rRNA from 1 species
UACAGAGGUCCCAAGCGUUGUUCGGAUUUACUGGGCGUAAAGGGUGCGUAGGCGGUUGGGUAAGUCUGAUGUGAAAUCUCACAGCUUAACUGUGAAACUGCAUUGGAUACUAUCCGGCUAGAGGAAUGGAGGGGAGACUGGAAUACUUGGUGUAGCAGUGAAAUGCGUAGAUAUCAAGUGGAACACCAGUGGCGAAGGCGAGUCUCUGGACAUUUCCUGACGCUGAGGCACGUAAGCCAGGGGAGCAAACAGG